UAAGGAAUAUUGGUCAAUGGACGCAAGUCUGAACCAGCCAUGCCGCGUGAAGGAUGAAGGUCCUCUGGAUUGUAAACUUCUUUUACAGGGGAAGAAACCGGAAUUUUCUUGUUCCGUUGACGGUACCCUGGGAAUAAGCACCGGCUAACUCCGUGCCAGCAGCCGCGGUAAUACGGAGGGUGCAAGCGUUAUCCGGAUUCACUGGGUUUAAAGGGUGCGUAGGUGGGUCUGUAAGUCAGUGGUGAAAUCUCCAAGCUUAACUUGGAAACUGCCGUUGAUACUAUAGACCUUGAAUGCUGUGGAGGUGAGCGGAAUAUGUCAUGUAGCGGUGAAAUGCUUAGAUAUGACAUAGAACACCAAUUGCGAAGGCAGCUCACUACCCAGAUAUUGACACUGAGGCACGAAAGCGUGGGGAUCAAACAG
rnacentral:rRNA from 1 species